rnacentral:rRNA from 1 species
CGGAGGGAGCUAGCGUUGUUCGGAAUUACUGGGCGUAAAACGCACGUAGGCGGCUUUUCAAGUCAGGGGUGAAAUCCCGGGGCUCAACCUCGGAACUGCCUUUGAAACUGGAAGGCUUGAAUCUUGGAGAGGCGAGUGGAAUUCCGAGUGUAGAGGUGAAAUUCGUAGAUAUUCGGAAGAACACCAGUGGCGAAGGCGACUCGCUGGACAAGUAUUGACGCUGAGGUGCGAAAGCGUGGGGAGCAAACAGGAUU